rnacentral:lncRNA from 1 species
CUGACCUAUUAUUUGAACUAGCGACCCUGUUAAUAUUUUCGGAACGCUAUUUAUUUUUCCUUUCUAAAUUAAAAAAAAAUCUAUAUUUUACUCCUUCAAUAUUUUAAAUUGUUGUAUUUAAUUUUUCUUUCGUCAGGUUUUUAUCACUGUUCUAUCUAUUUCUUUUAAUUUAUAUCCAAAAUACUCUUCAAAAUAAAAGAAAUAUAUUAAAAAAGUAUAUUUUCUUAUAGAAGAGGAAAUGCAUUUUUAUUAUUAGGGCAAUUGCUUAUAUACUCCUGAAAAGUUUCCGACGUUCUGAUUUACCCCUCUUAGAAGGCUAAUAUUGAAAAAUACCAUUUUUACGUUCCAACCUAUUUCAAAUAUACUCUUAGAGUUAAAAUCUGUUAAUGAACUCUAUUAUCUGUAUAAAAUUACUAUUUCGCCCUUUCAAAUAUACUCUUCCACCAUCACCGAUUUUUCUUAUUUGCCCUUAAAUCAGGGGUACAAAAAGUAUUUUGACUUUUGAUCUUUUCAAAUAUACCCCUCUACCGUCACCAAUAUUUCUUAUUUGUCCUUAAGUUAAGGAUAAAAUUGAUAUUUUAAUUUUUUUUAAACUGUGGUAGAUAUUUAACUCACGUUUAACCCAAGUUAACCUAAUGGGUGAUAACUGUAGGGGUAUUUUGGAAUAACGGAGGAACAUAUGAAGAGUAUAUUGAAAAGAAAAAAAAUAAGGGCAAAUGAGAUAUUUCUGAAGUUUUAUUUUAAAAAGGGUAAAUUACACCAUUAGUCCCCAACCUUUUUCCAAAUUUUCAACUAGGUCCCUAACCUUUUUCUUCGUCAAUUGAGUCCCCAAUUGCAAUAAAUUAUUUCAAUUAGGUCCUAUCGUCUAUAUUUCCGUCACACUCGACGGAAACUGACACGUAGGCGCCACGUUGGUGUCUUUUUGGAGGGAAAAUUUCCCACCUUAGGUCAUAAAGACCUUUAACCAAUUAUUUGUAGGGAAUAUAAAUAGGAUAAAUAUAUAAAUAUAAAAUGCCCAGAACCCUUUCUUCCUUUUUGACUUUAUAUAUAGAAAAAAAACCUAGCUAAGAGAAAAGGGUUUUCACUGUAAUAAUUCAUUUUCUCUUCUCUUGAGCAUCACACUACCUUGAGAAAUGUCUGAAAUGUCCAC